rnacentral:lncRNA from 1 species
AAAAAUAAACAUGUCUGCGUGAAGCUUUCAUCUUUCAUCUGAAGUUACAUGAUUGUGAACAUUCAUUUUGUGUUUUGACUUUGUUGUUAGUGCAGAAGUUUGAGUUUACAGGCUUAAAAAGUGCCAGCUUUCGGGAUGAAUAGCACUGGAAACUUUUUGUUUUUUUUAAACCCCAAGGAAAGCCUACAUCCUUGAAAACUGCACAGUCGUCAUGGGUGAAUUUGCCUAGACCACUUCCUAAAUCCAAAGCAUCUUUGAAAAGUCCUGCGCUGCGGAGGACAGGAAGCACCCCCUCAAUAGCCAGCACCCACAGUGAGCUGAGCACUUACAGCAACAAUUCUGGUAAUGCCGCUGUCAUCAAAUAUGAGGAGAAACCUCCAAAACCAGCAUUUCAGAAUGGUUCCUCAGGAUCCUUUUAUUUGAAGCCUUUGGUAUCCAGGGCUCAUGUUCACUUGAUGAAAACUCCUCCAAAAGGUCCUUCGAGAAAAAAUUUAUUUACAGCUCUUAAUGCAGUUGAAAAGAGCAGGCAAAAGAAUCCUCGAAGCUUAUGUAUCCAGCCACAGACAGCUCCCGAUGCGCUG